AGUAUAAUUAAUUAAAAAUAAAAAUAGAAGUAGAUGUUCGGGUUCCAUUCUAAAAGGGCGACGCGAAGAGAUCAGUGAAGAAAUUUCCCUUGUUCUCCAACCACUCGCAGUUGUCCCAGACUGUGUCAUGAGGCCAAUAAGGCUUCCCGAACCCCCCAGUACUUCUCCCGGAGUGCCGGAGAUCUUCGAAGGCGCCAUCUAUGGCGUUAUCCGCCGGGCCGUCGUCAUCGGUAAUGGCUUUCCGGGCUCCGAGAACCAAAGCAUCGGAUUGGUUCGAGCUCUUGGCUUCUCCGACAAGCAACCUCUCUAUCGAGUUACAAGGCCGAGAGGAGGAAUUAAUGAGUGGCUUCACUGGCUCCCUGUUUCUCUUCACAAAAAGUUAUAUUAUGUUAUAAGGCAGAUCUGUGGUUAUUCCCAGACUUUGCUAGCAGUUAGAGGGAAGAAACUUGUGCCUGUAGCUAUGGAAAAUGGUUGCAGCAAAGGUUUAUCUUCUGUUUUAGAAGCUGAUGUAAAUCAUAUUGUUUCCAUGGCUCGUGAAACUUUUGAAAAGGAUGGCCCAUUAUUGGUGGUUGCUUCUGGCAGGGAUACUGUUUCUAUUGCAAGCUCCAUAAAACGAUUGGCAUCUGAAAAAGUUUUUGUUGUUCAGAUACAACAUCCAAGGUCACAUUUGAAUAGGUUUGACAUGGUGAUAACCCCACGUCACGAUUAUUACCCUCUGACUCCUCAUGCACAGGAGCAGGUUCCUCGUCUUCUCCGCAGAUGGAUAACUCCACGCGAACCUCCUGAUAGGCAUGUGAUACUCACAGUAGGAGCUCUACACCCACUUGAUUCUGCCGCCUUGAGGGGUGCAGCUGUUGCCUGGCAUGAUGAGUUUGCAUCACUGCCAAAGCCCUUGCUGGUGGUUAACAUUGGAGGACCUACAAAGCACUGCCGAUAUGGUGUGGACCUAGGAAAGCAGUUAACAGACGCUUUGUACAACGUUCUCCCAAGCUGUGGGAGCAUAAGAAUAUCUUUCUCAAGGAGGACCCCUGAAAAGAUAUCAAACAUUAUAGUGAAAGAACUUGGGAGUCAUCCAAAAGUGUACAUAUGGGACGGGAAGGAGCCAAAUCCACACAUGGGCCAUCUUGCUUGGGCUGAUGCCUUUGUCAUCACAGCGGACUCUGUCAGCAUGUUAAGUGAGGCCUGCAGCACUGGGAAGCCUGUCUAUGUUGUUGGAGCUGAGCGAUGUACUUGGAAGUUUCUGGACUUCCACAAGUCCUUGAGGGAAAGAGGGGUGGUUCGGCCAUUUAUGGGCCGGGAGGAUAUCUCACAAAAUUGGAGCUAUCCCCCACUUAAUGAUGCUGGAGAAGCAGCCGCUAGGGUGCGCGAAGCAAUUGCAGAGCGAGGAUGGGUGUUGCGGCCAAGGGGAACCUUCUAGCUAUUUUUGUCGUUUCAUUUUUUUGAGUAAAUUUUGUUUGAAGGUGUGAUUUUAUCAUGUGUCCAGGAGCAGCGAUUGACUGUGGAUAGGUUGAGUUUUCACGGCUCAAUUCUUUUUCCCCGCAUGGGGGUGGGGUGGUCUUCGGCAGCAUGACAGGGUGAUUUCCUUUAUAUAAUCGUGGAAGGAGCAAGUGGAGAUUUACACGCAUGGAAAACAUGAGAGAGAUGGGGCACGUAUGUUGAAGACAUGGAUUGUGACAUCCACCAUUUAUUUCACCACACUCUUUCUUGGAUGUCACACAUAUAUUAACUUAACUAGUUAAGAUCUUUAAGAUAUCUCAUUCCGAUAAAAUAAAUCAGUCUCUUGAAUGUUGUAGUUGACAAAGUUUUGGUGAAUAAAUCUAGUAGACUAUCACUUGAUUGGAUC